CUUGAAUCAAAAUGGGGGGACCUGGCUGGGCAUUAUUGCCUCACAAUGCGGGAGUUUAUUGCUGAAACCUGCUUAUCCCCCAGCUCCGCGCUCCAUGGGAACUGCGGUCAGGUGGAAAGUGAUUCUGUUCUCUGCCGAGGCGGCUUGAAGUGUCGUAAGACCCGCUAAAGUCCUAAAGCCCUUCCUCGUAACUGAGACAUUUAGGAUAAUCUUUAUGGGAGUUUUGCAUGAGCUUCUGCUUUUUGUUGCACUUAGAAGGAGAGUUAAUGAUGAGCUUUCACUGGCUUCUCCCCCCCCCCCCUUUUUUUUUAAAUCUAAGCCCAAAAGCGCCUGUUUAAGUUAAGUACCACCUCCCUCCAGCCCUUGGGAAACCACUCAAGAGGGCUUUGCUUGGCUCUGUGUUCAUGACACAUAAUGAAAACAAUUUUACGCUGUGGAGGGAAGUAUUGGGCAAUUACUGAUGUAACAGCCACCUGCAGUAGCGAGCCCUGGCUGCAGCAUUGCGAGAGCCCACUGUGUAACACCAAGAAGCAUCCUGACCCUGCCUGGAUCGACGCGAGGGCAGCUGAGGCUGAGGCAAGAUGCUCUGACAAGUCACGGAAACAUCAAGAUUUAAACUGAGUAUCACAGCAUAAACAACAUAUUUCCAGCAUUCAGACUCUGUGAUUCUUCCUAUCGGUAUAUUUAAGAUUUCAGGAUCCCAUCCAGGAUAACAUAUUACAUUUAUUGUCAUGUUUACUUGGGCUGCUCUCCGCCGUGCGACAGUUUCUCAGACUUUCCUUAUUGUUAGCCUUUUUGACUGCUGACUGCCAAUGCUGAGAAUAGCGCCUGCCAUAUACCAGCUGGACGGGACUUCUGUAAUUUCACCCUCUCAUUUCACAAGUGAGGAUGCAAAAGCUGAAAGUGACUGAGUAGCUUCCCAAAGUCAACACCAGGCUGAUGAUAAGAGGAAAGUUUUGAUCUUAGGUAUUUUGGCUUCCAUUCCAGUGUUCUCUCACUUCAUCGAAUUGUGUGUCUAAUACCUGAAUCAAAGGAGUUUGAAUUGAGUUGUUAUUCUAAUAAUAAAGCUUGGC
rnacentral:lncRNA from 1 species